GAUGAACGCUAGCGGCAGGCCUAACACAUGCAAGUCGAGGGGUAGUUACUUUCGGGUAAUGAGACCGGCGCACGGGUGCGUAACGCGUAUGCAAUCUACCUUUUACAGGGGAAUAGCCCAGAGAAAUUUGGAUUAAUGCCCCAUAGUAUGUAUGAAUCGCAUGGUUUAUACAUUAAAGUUCCAACGGUAAAAGAUGAGCAUGCGUCCCAUUAGUUAGUUGGUAAGGUAACGGCUUACCAAGACAACGAUGGGUAGGGGUCCUGAGAGGGAGAUCCCCCACACUGGUACUGAGACACGGACCAGACUCCUACGGGAGGCAGCAGUGAGGAAUAUUGGACAAUGGGCGCAAGCCUGAUCCAGCCAUGCCGCGUGCAGGAUGACGGUCCUAUGGAUUGUAAACUGCUUUUUGUACGAGAAGAAACACUCCGACGUGUCGGAGCUUGACGGUAUCGUAAGAAUAAGGAUCGGCUAACUCCGUGCCAGCAGCCG
rnacentral:rRNA from 1 species